AAAUAUGCACUAUCUCAUCCUAAGCAAAAUAGUAACCUAAAAAUGACAAGCACAGAUAAGCAAUUACCUAACCAUUUAUUCUCCAAAAUACUCUCUUCCAAUUACUUUCUUCAUCAUCAUUUUGUCCUUUACCUCUCACCCUUUUCCUCCUUCAAAAAGUCCCUUUGUCCACACAUAUAUCCUACCCUUCCUUCCUCUAUACUAACCUCAACAACUUUCCCUUUGUCCUUUUGUCAAACAUCACUUGAUUCUAAUCUAUGUUGCUUUCAUCAAGAAUCAAUUAGAAGGUCCCAAAAUACUAAAAAAUAA